CAUCCUCUUUUAUCAGGAAAAAAAAAAGAAAAAAGAAAAAAAAAAAAGAAUGCCAUCCCCUUUAAAUUUUUAAAAAUACAUACAAAAAUUGUUCGUCAGUUGCCGCAACGGUGCAGAAACAUGAAUCCAAUUCAUUUAUAUACAGAGAGAGCCAUUUAGCAGAGAGAGCCAUUUAGAAGAGAUAUAUCAUAUCUGAGCGAACGAGAGAGAGAGAGAGAGAGAGAGAGAGAGAGAGAGAGAGAGAAUUGAGAGAGACAGAUACGGGGAAUUCUUCUCUCUUUUCGUCUCUAGCGAAUUGGAAACCUUCUUGAGGUCCCUGAAUCAAUUAUUUUCCAACAUUUUCUUUCAUUUUUUGUAAUCUAAACAUUGUAACUAUCUUUUAUGUGUAUUCCUUCCAGAUUGAAAAGAAUUCGAGGAAAGUAGUUACUAAAACACAUAGAUGGCGAUCAAAUGCCUUCGGUCGAGACUUCUAUUCCGAUUCCUGGAUCAUUGAGAGAUGGAAGAACUCGGCGCAAUCCGACACCAUCUUGGACGUUCUCCGCUUUUAGAGACCGUGGUGACGAAUCCAAUGUCAAACACAUGGCUGGAAAGGUGUAAUUAUCUUCCUUUCUCUAUCUCUCAUUUUUUAAUAGACUUGAAGAUCUCAAAUAUACUGUUUGGUUGACGAGAAAAUUUUGUGGAAGAAAAGCAAAGUUGUUCCUUCCUUGGUUUGCUUAAUUGAAAGGAAAGCCAAAAAGAGAAAAUUCGAAUUAGUUUGUUUAAUUUUAUAA